CAGGGACGCAAAGAGGCCAUAACAGAAUUUGUCUGGAGAUGGUUAUUUGCUGUUAUCAAGAAACAAGGAACAUCUGAGAAAUUGUCAUCGUCUAGAGGAGCCUAAGGAGAUAUAUGACUAGAGUUCUUCAUCUUUAAUCCCAACCCAAACAAGGCUGUAGAUGGAACUCAUCAACAUCGUGACAGAGAAGGUCAAUAAUCUGAUUGAUGAGUUAUCCAUUUGACUCUCGGUCUUGUCCAUUGUAGCCUCCUAAGAUGAAUAUAUCUCAUUCAGCUUUUCUGGUAGGUGUCUUGUUUUCCCACAUCUUAAAAUAAAACACUUGUGUAUGCAUGUGUGUACAUUUUGAGAGCACAUGUAUUAGAGUAAACUGGGACUCUACACCCUAACUUUUCAGUUAACAUAGAUAGGUUCUCUUGCAUUACUUCUGCAUUCACAUUUCUUGAAGAUAAGUCAUUCUACAGAUCUCCAAAAGGUUAAAGAAAGGCAUCUGCAGUUAGAAACAGCACUUUGGGUAGCAUAUGCCUUCUUGAUAUAGAAUUAACUUGAGCUAUACGGCAAAACAAGUACCUUUCACCAAGAAAGAAAGUUUAUGGAAAAAAUAGAAGAUUCAUCAACUAAGAAUGAUGGAUGAUUGCAGAAAUA
rnacentral:lncRNA from 1 species